GACGAACGCUGGCGGCGUGCUUAACACAUGCAAGUCGAACGGAAAGGCCCUGCUUUUGUGGGGUGCUCGAGUGGCGAACGGGGGAGUAACACGUGAGUAACCUGCCCUUGACUUUGGGAUAACUUCAGGAAACUGCGGCUAAUACCGGAUAGGAGCUCCUGCUGCAUAGUGGGGGUUGGAAAGUUUCGGCGGUUGGGGAUGGACUGGCGGCUUAUGAGCUUGUUGGUGGGGUAGUGGCUUACCAAGGCUUUGACGGGUAGGCGGCCUGAGAGGGUGACCGGGCACCAUGGGCCUGAGAUACGGACCAGAAUCCUACGGGAGGCAGUAGUGGGGAACAUUGCAGAAUAGGCGGAAGCCUGAUGCAGCAACGCCGCGUGCGGGAUGAUGGCCUUCGGGUUGUAAACCGCUUUCGACUGUGACGAAGCGUGCGUGACGGUAAUGGGUCAAGAAGCACCGGCUAACUACGUG
rnacentral:rRNA from 1 species